CGACCCUCUCUUUACACCGCUCUGGGUACAACCGGUAGCACUUUGGGAAGAAAACCAACGACACAAACCUGAUUUAUUUCACAACAAUGCAGCAUGAGGGUAUUUCUUUUGUUUCAGUAAAGGAUUUGUUUAGGAAUCAAAUAAUGUUUUCAAAAUGGAGAUAACCGUUGAGUCUUAAUGGUGUAAAUGUUUUAGAUAAAAUGAAGCCUAAAAUAAUAUACUUGAGCUCAGUUUGGGAAGGCUUAGUGACAAUCCUAGUGUGACGUCAUGGAGGAGCUAGCUCGCGCUAACUAAGAUUCCUUAUGACAAGCGAGGAGAUGCACCACUAGAUGGCAUCCUGAGAGAGGUCUGUUCACCCCAGCGGCUCCUUUCUGAGUGCAAGAGGAACACUGUAGAAUCCUGUUUAUCUCCAUAGGAUGUUUGGCAUUGUGAGACACAACAGGCUGCGUUUGCUGUGCGUGACUGAGAGCCGAGCACCAGGAGCAGCCAGCUGUGUCCACCCAUGAACAAGGG
ensembl:lncRNA